CUAGUUAUGUAGGGAACUAGAGAGAAAAAGAGAGAGAGAGAGGAGAGAGAGGGAGAUAGAAGAGAGGAGAGAGAGAUUUGAAACCCAUCUCACACCCUAAAUGUGGGCAGGCUUGCAGACAGAUAUCUUGGAACUACGAGGCUUUUCUUCUGGAAAAAUGUCCAACUGUAGCAGACAGAAAGGAAGCCAAGAGAGGGUGUUUACAGCAAGGAGGGGCUAUGAAAUAUCUUCACUCCAGGUUCUUUACGAGCUGCAGUGUAUCAUUUUUAUCAGUAAUUGGAAGCAUGCUGCAUGUUUGACUCUGUGGACUCCUGCUUUACACAACAGAACAUUCCGAUGGUGUGCAUGUGCCAUACCCUGCCGUAACAAAUCUCAGCUGGUCCUCUGCUGUCCUCUGGGGAGAAUGCAUUUGAACUCAUCUCAAAGAGCUGGUUUUCUACCCUGGAGGUCUCCGAUGGCUACUGCGAGAAGAAAGCCAUGUCCCGAAAGCAGUGAUACAGAUUGGCAGCCACUGCAGAGAUGCAGAAUGUCGAAGAGUGUGUGUGUUGGAAUUCCUGGACAGACACUGCUCUGAAAGAAAAACCCUCUGGUUUUGGAAGUCUGGUUGGGCAAGGCAGGCGGAGGUCAUGGAGGGGCCGGCGUGAUGGAAUCCUCGGUGCAGCUGACUGCGCAGCCCGACACUGGCGUGGACACUGGGAUGCGUCAUGCAACAUCCAACCAGAGCACACUCACGAGGACAAACAUGGGCCCACCUAUUUACCAUCAGAAAAACAAAAUCACGCUCUUUCACUUUGAAAGAAGGGGGAAACUGGAAAGUUAUUAUUUGAAAUAAAAUGGAAUUUUAGGAUAAUUAUUUUCUUUAAUAUCCCUUUUAUUUCCCUGUUUUUCAUUUGAAUUCUGGUCUAUCCCGCAUACAAAGAAAUUGGCAUUCUCUGCCACCAAUCAACAUUUGAGUAUUUGGCAAAGUUAUGAUUUCA
rnacentral:lncRNA from 1 species